AACGAACGCUGGCGGCAUGCCUAACACAUGCAAGUCGAACGAGACCUUCGGGUCUAGUGGCGCGCGGGUGCGUAACGCGUGGGAAUCUGCCCCUCGGUUCGGAACAACAGUUAGAAAUGACUGCUAAUACCGGAUAAUGACGAAAGUCCAAAGAUUUAUCGCCGAGGGAUGAGCCCGCGUAGGAUUAGCUUGUUGGUGGGGUAAUGGCCCACCAAGGCGACGAUCCUUAGCUGGUCUGAGAGGAUGAUCAGCCACACUGGGACUGAGACACGGCCCAGACUCCUACGGGAGGCAGCAGUGGGAAUAUUGGACAAUGGGCGAAAGCCUGAUCCAGCAAUGCCGCGUGAGUGAUGAAGGCCUUAGGGUUGUAAAGCUCUUUUACCAGGGAUGAUAAUGACAGUACCUGGAGAAUAAGCUCGGCUAACUCCGUGCCAGCAGCCGCGGUAAU
rnacentral:rRNA from 1 species